CUCUUCCGAUGGGUCCAAAGUUCUCCUAAAACAGGCAAGAUGUUUUCUCACUCAAUUAGAAAGGUGUUUCAAGAACCAUCUACUAAGUGUAUAUGACAUGCCAAGUUUGUUCUAGCAGUGAGAAUACAACAGGGGACAAACAAGUCUUUGCCCUCAUGAAGCUGAAAAAUUAGCAAAGACCAACCGAUCGAUUAACAGCCAAUGCUAAAAUACGCCGUGUAGCGAUAAGAACUUGGAAGACAAAUAAAGCAGGGUGAGGGCACUAGGGAUGGCACGUGAAAACACGACUCUUAGGCAGAAAGCAGAAUGAACAGCGGGAGUAAGCACCCGGAGCGUCGGCAAGACGAGAGGCUGUGGGCAGUGGAGAGGCCAAGUGCCAUGACGAAAUGCCAGGACACGGCUGGAAAAGAAGGGUGGAAAGAAGGGGUACUGGACUGAGUACUGAAGAGGGACUUCCACUGUUAUUCUACAUGUUAUCGGAUUGUUUGAAUUUCUUCUCGAUUGGAUACCUGAUGACUGUCACCUAUCAUAUCUUCUAACUGAGCUAUUCAUUG
rnacentral:lncRNA from 1 species